rnacentral:tmRNA from 1 species
GGGGCUGACCGGUAUUGACGGGGAGUUGAUUGAGAAUGUAAGCAUGUCGGGCGAUGAAGGUUUGUCCCGUAAAAACGCAUCUUCAAGCAAUAACUGGCGAAACUAAUUACGCUCUUGCUGCUUAAUCGAAUAAAGUAGAUUAUUAGCUUUACAUUGUACUAGGUACUUUGGCAAGACAUUCCGCAGAAGGCCCGCCUUUAGUCGUCUGAUUACGGAGUGCAAUAAUUAAGGGAUAGCAAAUAUAAAGCUUGUGUUUAUUUGCGAGAUUUUCAAGCUAAGGAAAAAAUAGAGUGCUCGUUCCCGGUUUUUUCUCGAAAAACAAUAAUAGAGCUACACAUGUAGAAAGCAUUAGCAAUGCUUUUCCGGACCAGGGUUCAAAUCCCUGCAGUUCCAC